GACAACGGGCAUUUGUACGAUGCAUCAAUGUCAAUCACUUUUGUAUUACAGAUGUCACUGUAUUAAUGGGAAGAAAUCCCAUUGUGCCAGCAUAGAGACCUACAGGUGGCUUUUGCAAAAAAAGGUUUUAUUUGCCACAUGUUUCAUUCGGUUUUCCAUUAUUGUUAUUAACAAACCUCCAUCCCCGUCUUCACAGGAACCUCGGGAAGUCAGGACUACGAGUUUCCUGCCUGGGUUUAGGAACCUGGGUCACGUUCGGAUCCCAGAUCUCUGAUGAGACUGCUGAGAACUUGAUGACCAUAGCGUACGAGAACGGAGUGAACCUGUUUGACACGGCGGAGGUGUAUGCCUCGGGCAGGUCGG